rnacentral:snRNA from 1 species
AUCGCUUCUCGGCCUUUUGGCUAAGAUCAAGUGUAGUAUCUGUUCUUAUCAGUUUAAUAUCUGAUACGUCCUCUAUCUGAGGACAAUAUAUUAAACGGGUUUUUGGAAUUGGGAGUCGGAAUAGGAGCUUGCUCCGUCCACUCCACGCAUCAACCCAGUAUUGCAGUAUCUCUGGGAAUGGUGCACCCCCU